AUGGCGAGCUUCACAUGCAACCCCUUCGCCUUCCUUCCGCCGGGCUUCUCCAUCGAGCAAGGCCCCUCUGAUCACAAGGUGAGGGCAGACAUGGCUCUCAGCGCGACUCCACCACUCUGCCAUGAUGACUAUGCCAUUUCUGAGUCCAACAGGCCUAUUCCAAUUCAUCUCCGUCAGGUCGCCAGACAGGAAAUUGUAAGGCUUCCGAACCAUUUCAGGUUUUUUGUUAGAGAUGCGCAAGAUUCUGCUUUUGGUCUUGGAUUGUAUUGCUUCCGCAAUGGUUUGAUUAGGGAUGUUGUAGUUGGGAAAAGUUACUUGCUUGGUGAGGACAAUGAGGUUACUUUUGUUAAGCAUGAUGAAGGUCUGAACAUGCGCAUGCCUUCAUUGGGUAGGCAGAUUUGGUUUCUGAUGCUUGCUUUCCCUCAAGACUAUCAAAAAAAAUUCGGGAUUGAUAAGGCAGUUUCUCAAUUUGGAAAAUUAAUUCAGUGGUUCACACCUCAGGAUCCAGUCUCUAGUGUACUUGUCAAAUCUUGGAUCAUGAGUCUGUCACUUGUGCCUAGUAGUUUUGUGAUGCGGCAAAUGGGUGGUCAGCGUAGAUCUUGGACGGUGCCAGUUUACUAA
rnacentral:rRNA from 1 species